UACAUGUGGGGCAAGCGUUGUUCGGAAUUACUGGGCAUAAAGGGUGCGUAGGUGGCUUGUUAAGUCAGGGGUGAAAGUUUUCGGCCCAACCGGAAAAUGGCCUUUGAUACUGGCGAGCUCGAGUGCGUGAGGGGUAACCGGAACGAGCAGUGUAGCGGUGAAAUGCGUAGAUAUUGCUCGGAAGGCCAACGGCGAAGGCAGGUUACUGGUGCGCAACUGACGCUGAGGCACGAAAGCGUGGGGAGCAAACAGG
rnacentral:rRNA from 1 species